rnacentral:RNase_P_RNA from 1 species
AGAUGGCUGGGCAGUCGCUGUUCUUCACUAUUUUUAAACGUAAGUUUUUUAACAGUGAAGGAGGGAGGAAAGUCCGGGCUCCAUAGGACAGGGUGCCAGGUAACGCCUGGGGGGCGAAAGCCUACGGAAAGUGCCGCAGAGAGCAGACCGCCUAAAUUAGCCCACUCUUUUAUGGAGUGAAGCUAGUCGGUAAGGGUGAAAGGGUGCGGUAAGAGCGCACCGCAUGGCUGGCAACAGUCCAUGGCAGGGUAAACCCCACCCGGAGCAAGACCAAAUAGGAAUUCUUUGGCGUGGUCCGCGCUGAAUUCGGGUAGGUUGCUUGAGGUGCAUGGCGACAUGCAUCCCAGAUGAAUGGCUGCCAAGGUUUCUUUUGAAGCCUCACAGAACCCGGCUUACAGGCCAUCUUG